UACGAAGGGGGCUAGCGUUGUUCGGAAUUACUGGGCGUAAAGCGCACGUAGGCGGUUCGCUAAGUGGGAUGUGAAAGCCCUGGGCUUAACCUGGGAACUGCAUUUCAGACUGGCGAACUAGAGUACGGUAGAGGGCGGUGGAAUUCCCUGUGUAGCGGUGAAAUGCGUAGAUAUAGGGAGGAACAUCAGUGGCGAAGGCGGCCGCCUGGAUCGAUACUGACGCUGAGGUGCGAAAGCGUGGGGAGCAAACAGG
rnacentral:rRNA from 1 species